UCCUUCUUUUUACAAAAAGGAGGUUCUCAAACUUGUUAGUCUGCACUAGCAACCAGUAGACACUGUAUAGGGAAGAAACCACUGAUUACUUUUCUUUU